CACCCGCGGUAGUGGAUGUGUCUCGUGUUGUGAUAACAGACACAUGUGUUUAUAGUCGUCUGUUGUGUGAUAAACAGUUCAGUCAGCGGUGGACUUACGCCGGUGGAGUGGUCUGAAGGUUGUACCUCUCUCUGGAUAACUCUCUCUCCGAUAUGUCGCCAGCCCCCGACCGCGCGACAGGCGACGAUGCGCUUUGCGCAAUUUUCGCGGAUGCAGUAUUCUUUCCUCUGGACAUCCCGUGGCAGCAGCCGGCGCCGCCCCCGCGGGCGCUCCUGCCGCGCUUCGACGAGCUGCUGUUACCGGUCAAAGUCAACGAGUUGCUGCAGAGUAAGGCUGCGCCGCGAGGAAGAAGGUGGCGGAAGAAAAAUAAGGGCAGCUCACCCGAUGUGUUAGACCACAAUGACGGGGAACAACGCACCAACCUGAAUAUUAGUGAUGUUUUCGAGGCGAUAUCGCUCGCGGACCCGUCGUUCGCCGCGGGCGUGGCCGACGCGGCCGUAGAGGACAGCAUGGCGCGCGCGCCGGCCCCGCACGGGGGGCCCUUCGUAAGGAUCGUCGAGCAGCCGGCUAGCAAGGCGCUACGAUUUCGAUACGAAUGCGAGGGUCGGUCAGCAGGUUCGAUUCCCGGCGUGAACAGCACGCAGGACCGCAAGACCUUCCCCACCAUUGAAAUUGUCGGACACACCGGCAAGGCGAUAGUAGUCGUCUCCUGCGUCACGCGGGAAGAACCUUAUAAACCUCACCCGCACAACCUAGUGGGCCGCGACCGCUGCAGCCGCGGCGUGUGCACGCAGAAGAUCGACGUGACACCAGACAAUGCACUGGUUACGUUCAGCAACCUCGGCAUCCAGUGCGUCAAGCGGCGCGACAUUGCGGACGCGCUGCGCGUGCGCGAGGAGCUGCGCGUUGACCCCUUCCGAACGGGUUACGCGCACCGCAACCAGCCCCAAGCGAUCGACCUGAACGCGGUCCGAUUAUGCUUCCAAGUAUUUCUGCCGGACGAGGCGGGCAAGGUGCGCCACUCACUGGCGCCUGUGGUCUCCGACGUCAUCUACGACAAGAAGGCCAUGUCCGACCUUCACAUCCUGCGUAUAUCCUCGUCUGCUGGAGCUGCCAGGGGAGGCACUGAGCUUAUACUGCUUUGUGAGAAGGUGACCCGCGAAGACAUAGCGGUAGUGUUCUACGAGGAGCGGCGCGACCAGGGCGCGGGCGGCGGCGGCUGCGCGGCCGUGGUGUGGGAGGAGUCGGCCAACAUCGUGAUGGUGCACAAGCAGGUCGCCAUCGCCUUCACCGCGCCUGCGUACCGCGACCCGCAUACGCAGGAACAUGUUGAGGUGUACAUCCAGCUGAAGCGGCCGACGGACGGCGCGCGGUCCCUGGGUAUCCCCUUCACGUACAUCCCGGAGUACCAAGAUACGGACUAUUUAAAGCGGAAGCGACAGAAGACGCUUCAUUCCUCUCUCAUACAGCAAAUUGAGCAAGAGAGGGCCAACUGGCAGACGGAGCAGAAGCCGAUCAAGGCCGAGCCAAGUGACAAAUCUCCGAUGCACAUGGGCAAUUCCCCGAUUCGGAUCUACACGCCCCUCGAUCAGGGCCCGCAGCAGUGGCUGGGCCCGGCGCUGGGCGAGCCCCCGGCGGCUGGCGGCGGCUACUACCGCGCGCCCGACGCCGCCUGGCAGCCCGCGCCCGGCUACCAGCCCAUGCCGCCCAUGCAGAUGGGCGCGCUCGGCCCGCGCUCGCCGCACGCCGCGCUGGUGUCCGCCUCGCCCAACAUACAGGUGAUGUCACCCCACAUGCAAGUAAUGUCGCCUCAACAAGUGAUGUCACCCCAACAAGCCAUGUCCCCUGGACAUGUGAUGUCCCCAGGACAUGUGAUGUCCCCAGUGGGGCAGGUGAUGUCCCCACAGGGCAUAUCCCCCGCUCAGGUGAUGACCCGCCACGUGUCGGUGUCCCCUGGGCUGGCUGUGCCGCAACAACACAUGAUGGAUGACCGCGUGGGGCACAUGUCACCCAACAUGGGUCAUGUGUCGCCCAACAUGGGUCAUGUGUCACCCAACAUGGGUCAUGUGUCACCCAAUAUGGGACACGUGUCACCGAAUAUGGUGCAACAGCCUAUUCCACAGAUGCAACAACAACCGAUGGAAACCAACAGCACGCCAUCUCUCUCCAAACUCCUGAACAUGGAUGCCAACGAGCUACCCCAGCUCAACUCCGGCGACUUAAACAACCUGUCCCAGCUGCUGGGGCAGGUGGGGCAGGCGUACCGCCCCAACGAGUUGUCUGACAGCCUCAACAGGCUGUCCACCUCCGAUCUGUUCAUGGAGCGUGCAGAAAUAGAAAAAUCGCUCAACAUCUGAUCGAACCGGCGCGAGCAAUCUGCAACGACAUCUUAUGCAGAUUGACAAACCUUAAUGGCAGGACAUUCCGUCUGAUACGUCGUCCAUGAGGGAAUGGUGAUCAUUCCUGAAUAUGACAUACAUAACAUAAAUAUCGUAUAUACGUUUCACUAAGCACAAGCCUCCCCUCAAACAACCUGAGGGAGUAUGGAGCAUACUCCGCCACGCUGCUCCACUGCGGGUUGGUGAAGAUGUUAGGGCUAUUAGCCUUAGCGUGCCUUUUUCGGACAAUCUCGUAUGACAUAAGAAUAUAUGAAAAACCAUCGAUAAAAUGAUGCGACGGUCUGAUGAUUUAAAGACGAAACUCUCAGUUGUUGGACUGUAAUGAACUGUAGAUGAAGUCGACGUUCUAAUAUAUCCUGAAAUAGAAGAAUGAAUAAGCAAUCUGUUCACAACCUCUUCAAAAGAAGAGGUUCAGUUUCAAGAUACAGUUGCAGAGAAACUGGAUCUGGCAAAAUCAGACUCAUUGUUGACAAACAAUGAACUAACGAUGUCAUUAAACAAUCAAGUCACUAGAUCAAGAGGACUGAGUGCCCAUUUUACACAGACUUGCAGGGCGGAGGCCUAAAUACCAUCCUUUGUCGACAGCCUUCUGAACACUGAGACAAAGCACUUUACUGAAAAAAUCAACUGGCACUUUGAUAAUCAUUUUCUGAUGUAUCAUUACGACAGUGCAAUCUACUCAACAUCACAAGAAUAUUGAUAUAAGAAAUUGGGACAUUUCGGCAAUAAUAUUUCUAUUUCAUUGUACACAAAGGAAUCUAUCGAAAUUAAACUUUGGUUGUUGUGAAAACUUUGUGAAUCAGUGCCUUAGUGAUCUUCAUUAGUAUUAGUAAAACGAAAUAUUGGACUUCAAAGUGACUGUGGUGUAUUCAAAAACUUUACCGCGCCUAUAUAGAAAACUUUAUAUCACAAGUAAAUCACAACAUGUUUAUUAAAUUUUCUACAGAUAAUUUUAUAUGUAUAGCUUGCUUGUAAAAUAAUAGAUUCUUAAAAAUAAGCUAAGACUACUCUUAAGAUUUUGCUGUUUGCUUCAAGUUAGACUUGGAGAUUGUCAAUUCUCUAAUUAUACAAAAAAGACACAAAAAAAUAUUUUAUACCAAUGGAUGGUGCACAAAAAUGUCUUCCAGAUCUCUAAAUUUUAUUUUUUAUAUAGUUAUUUCUUUUACUUUUUUAGAUCUUCCCAUUAGUUAGACAAGUUUUGUUACAAGCAUUGAGAAUUUAUCAACAAGUCGAGUGUUUUAAGCACUCUUAAACAGGCGUGUGAGAGGGUUUCACUCAAUAAUACUUUGAAAAGAUCUUCAAUGUUCUGUAACAGUGCAUGUAACCAUGUCUUCUGUACAGUCUAGGAUACUUGUUAGUAAUAACGCUAGAGAUUUAAACAUUGACAUCGCUUGUGCUAGGGCAAGGAGUCCCAAUGCUAAUUCUAUGCAGUAGAAAUGAGCUAUUGGGGCGAUGAUCGAUAUUGUCGAGCAAGGUGUCCGGUGUGACGUAGUGUGUAGUGGUUUUAUAAUACUUGUAGCUCGGUUUAAACCCACGCUGCGUAAAGUUAGACGUAAUUUACUGUCGAAAAAUGCAUGCAGUAAAAUGUAUAAGGUCUGAUAUUACUCCACAAGUGCAAUACAUUGAAUAUACUUUAACAUACAGAUUUAAUUUUAUAUCAGGUCGCUAUAAUCAUAUUUCAUAUUGUUUUCGAAUUCAUGUUUGGAUCAUAAAUGAUUAUCACGUACUUAGCGGUGAGGAAACCCACAUACCCAAGAAAUGUUUCGAAGGUA